GAUGAACGCUGGCGGCGUGCCUAAUACAUGCAAGUCGAGCGAACAGACGAGGAGCUUGCUCCUCUGACGUUAGCGGCGGACGGGUGAGUAACACGUGGAUAACCUACCUAUAAGACUGGGAUAACUUCGGGAAACCGGAGCUAAUACCGGAUAAUAUAUUGAACCGCAUGGUUCAAUAGUGAAAGACGGUUUUGCUGUCACUUAUAGAUGGAUCCGCGCCGCAUUAGCUAGUUGGUAAGGUAACGGCUUACCAAGGCAACGAUGCGUAGCCGACCUGAGAGGGGGAUCGGCCACACUAGAACUGAGACACGGUCCAGACUCCUACGGGAGGCAGCAGUAGGGAAUCUUCCGCAAUGGGCGAAAGCAUGACGGAGCAACGCCGCGUGAGUGAUGAAGGUCUUCGGAUCGUAAAACUCUGUUAUUAGGGAAGAACAAAUGUGUAAGUAACUAUGCACGUCUUGACGGUACCUAAUCAGAAAGCCACGGCUAACUACGUG
rnacentral:rRNA from 1 species